AUCAUUAUUGGGAAAGAAAAUUGUAUUCAUUAAAAUUUGUAAUAUUAUUCAGUCUGAAACGAAAGCAAUAGAUUGCCUAAAGAACUUCGCUUACAAGAGAAAGUAACAUUUUCCAUUGUUCAAAGUGCUUAGAUCUGAAGAAAGAUGACUGAUACUAGCUUGGGCUCCGAACUUGGAGCGUUUGGAGAAAAUGUUCUCAUGCUAAUCGCUUUUCUAUUGAUAAAGAUUGGAUUGCAAUAUCUAGUGAAAUGGAUUUGGAAGAAAUUCGAUAAAAGGCGUUAAAAUCAUUCUUUGGAUGGAAUGUACUUUUAAACAGUCCUAACCUCAACAGAAAAGUUUUUUUUUUGAAGUAGUCAUGAAAUUUUUUCAUAAAACUGAAUAAACAACAAACAUGAAGCACUGAA